CUCCACCCAGUUGGAGCUUCCAGGCUGCUUUGUUUACCUAAGCAAGCCUGGCAAUGGCGGGCGCCCCUCCCCCAGCCUCGCUGCCACCUUGCAGUUUGAUCUCAGAUUGCUGUGCUAACAAUCAGCCAGACUCCUUGGGCGUAGGACCCUCCGAGCCAGGUGUGGGAUAUAAUCUCGUGGUGCGCCAUUUUUUAAGCUGGUCAGAAAAGCGCAGUAUUCAGGUGGGAGUGGCCCGAUUUUCCAGGUGCGUCGGUCACCCGUUUCUUUGACUCGGAAAGGGAACUCCCUGACCCCUUGCGCUUCCCAAGUGAGGCAAUGCCUCUCCCUGCUUCGGCUCGCGCAUGGUGCGCGCACCCACUGACCUGCGCCCACUGUCUGGCACUCCCAAGUGAGAUGAACCCGGUACCUCAGAUGGAAAUGCAGAAAUCACCCGUCUUCUGCAUCGCUCACGCUGGGAGCUGUAGACAGGAGCUGUUCCUAUUCGGCCAUCUUGGCUCCUCUCGAUAAUUGCUUUCAUGUGAACCCUUCAUAAGGUAAAAUCAAAUCCCUAUUAGGAUAAAUGAUUGAGUGUUCCUGUAAAGAAUUGUUCCCCUGGUUCAAGCAACCAGAUUUCAUUCCCAGAUGAUCAAAAAUGGACUUGAUGAAAUGGAAAAGCACUGAUAGAAACAGCCGUCGAUAUAUAGCUAAGGAUGAUAACAAGCACAACAAGGACUUACAGCAUUUGCUUUGCACCAGACACCAUCUAAAACACUUCACAAAUAUUAACUCAAAGGAACCUAUCAUUAAUCUCAGAGGCCACAUGCUGAACAUGGCCUAUCCACAGUGUGGAAGAAGCCUUGGAUCCUGAGCCACUGUUCUGACAACCAACCAAUUUAUAGAAGAGAGCUACAUAAUUCCACUGCUCAAAAUUACUCCUGAAGGGAUGAGGACACCAGGAUAUGCCACCGGACCACUGAAGGAAUGGUGAUGGUAUGAAGAAAGUAUUUUUAAUGAGCAGAGCCAUUGUUUGCUCUGCUCUGUCCUCACCCCUCAAGAGAAUUUCCCUUAUUAUUAUGAAAACUUUUUAUCUUAAAAGAUAUUACAUGUUAAUGGAACUGUCGUUUAACAAAUGUUUUAUAAGUGUACCAAUCAAGCACAUUGUCGAAAUAAAAGAUAUGAAAUAAGUGAAAAAAA
rnacentral:lncRNA from 10 species